UGGUACGAGUGCAGGGAUAUCUGCACCAACCUCAGCCGUUCCUGUUUGUGAACAUUAAUGAUACGGCGAAGAUCCAGUGCUCUUCCAAAGAACAAUUUUUAGAAGGAGGUGUGACAGUUCAGUGGUACAGGAGACGAGAAGGCGAGGCCCCCAUGUUAAUUAAGAGAUGCUCAGAUGAUCAAAAUGUAAAAGUUGCUUGCAUAUCGGAAGGACACAACUUGACACUGGCAAUCUACAAUGCCCAACGGAAUGACUCUGGGGUUUAUUACUGUACCGAUUCGUACAUCAUCUUGACUUUUGGCAACGGAUCCACCCUAAUUGUUGGAG